rnacentral:rRNA from 1 species
CGGGCGAGGUUGCUUCGGUAACUGAGCUAGCGGCGGACGGGUGAGUAAUGCUUAGGAAUCUGCCUAUUAGUGGGGGACAACAUUCCGAAAGGGAUGCUAAUACCGCAUACGUCCUACGGGAGAAAGCAGGGGCUCUUUAUGACCUUGCGCUAAUAGAUGAGCCUAAGUCGGAUUAGCUAGUUGGUGGGGUAAAGGCCUACCAAGGCGACGAUCUGUAGCGGGUCUGAGAGGAUGAUCCGCCACACUGGGACUGAGACACGGCCCACACUAAUACGGGAGGCAGCAGUGGGGAAUAUUGGACAAUGGGGGGAACCCUGAUCCAGCCAUGCCGCGUGUGUGAAGAAGGCCUUUUGGUUGUAAAGCACUUUAAGUGAGGAGGAGGCUUUCUUGGUUAAUACCUGAGAAGAGUGGACGUUACUCGCAGAAUAAGCACCGGCUAACUCUGUGCCAGCAGCCGCGGUAAUACAGAGGGUGCGAGCGUUAAUCGGAUUUACUGGGCGUAAAGCGCGCGUAGGUGGCUAAUUAAGUCAAAUGUGAAAUCCCCGAGCUUAACUUGGGAAUUGCAUUCGAUACUGGUUAGCUAGAGUAUGGGAGAGGAUGGUAGAAUUCCAGGUGUAGCGGUGAAAUGCGUAGAGAUCUGGAGGAAUACCGAUGGCGAAGGCAGCCAUCU